UGGGGAAUUUUGGACAAUGGGCGAAAGCCUGAUCCAGCAAUGCCGCGUGUGUGAAGAAGGCCUUCGGGUUGUAAAGCACUUUUGUCCGGAAAGAAAUCCUUGGCUCUAAUACAGUCGGGGGAUGACGGUACCGGAAGAAUAAGCACCGGCUAACUACGUGCCAGCAGCCGCGGUAAUACGUAGGGUGCAAGCGUUAAUCGGAAUUACUGGGCGUAAAGCGUGCGCAGGCGGUUUGCUAAGACCGAUGUGAAGUCCCCGGGCUCAACCUGGGAACUGCAUUGGUGACUGGCAGGCUAGAGUAUGGCAGAGGGGGGUAGAAUUCCACGUGUAGCAGUGAAAUGCGUAGAGAUGUGGAGGAAUACCGAUGGCGAAGGCAGCCCCCUGGGCCAAUACUGACGCUCAUGCACGAAAGCGUGGGGAGCAAACAGGAUUAGAUACCCUGGUAGUCCACGCCCUAAACGAUGUCAACUAGUUGUUGGGGAUUCAUUUCCUUAGUAACGUAGCUAACGCGUGAAGUUGACCGCCUGGGGAGUACGGUCGCAAGAUUAAAACUCAAAUGAAUUGACGGGGUCAUAGCUGUUUCCU
rnacentral:rRNA from 1 species